rnacentral:misc_RNA from 1 species
GGGGGAGAAGUCGUAACAAGGUAUCCG